rnacentral:rRNA from 1 species
UCAGCUUAACACAUGCAAGUCGAGCGGGGANGUACUUCGGUAACUGACCUAGCCGGCGGACGGGUGAGUAAUGCUUAGGAAUCUGCCUAUUAGUUGGGGGACAACAUUCCGAAAGGAAUGCUAAUACCGCAUACGUCCUACGGGGGAAAGCAGGGGAUCUUCGGACCUUGCGCUAAUAGAUGAGCCUAAGUCGGAUUAGCUAGUUGGUGGGCGUAAAGGCCUACCAAGGCGACGAUCUGUAGCGGGUCUGAGAGUGAUGAUCCGCCACACUGGGACUGAGACACUGGCCCAGACUCCUACGGGAGGCAGCAGUGGGGAAUAUUGGACAAUGGGCGGAAGCCUGAUCCAGCCAUGCCGCGUGUGUGAAGAAGGCCUUUUGGUUGUAAAGCACUUUAAGCGAGAGAGGCUCCUUUAUUAUACCUAAGUGAUGACG